CCGAGUUAACAACUCCCAAACCCUUUGUGAACAUACCUAUCGUUGCUUCGGCGGCACACGCCCCGGCUCCCGGAAUCAGGCGCCCGCCGAAGGACCCAAACUCUUGUCUUUACUGGAUGUAUUAUCUGAGUGACAAAACAAAAUAAAUCA
rnacentral:misc_RNA from 1 species